ensembl:lncRNA ANXA2R-OT1 ANXA2R overlapping transcript 1
GCAGUGGAAGACGGUUGGCGACCCGGAUGGCUUUUGUUACCAGGGCCAGCCCAAUCCGCCCGAUUCUCGGUCCCUAUACUGCCUCCUUUUCCCAUGCGCAUCGCAAGGGAUCGGUUGAUGGGGCCCUCAGUAUGACUUCGCUAGGAAAAAUAAAGUGCAGCUCGUUUCUCAGAGCCGGCGGAUGUUCAUGGGCAGCACCAUCGAGCCAGAAGCAGUAUUUGUCCUGGAGGAAAUCAGUGGUGCUUCAGGAUAUUGUGAAUUUGGUCUUCUGAAAGCAGAAUUCUGAUUUAACAGUAUAAUGGAAUUCGUGAACGUCAUGAUGCUAAUUUGAACCAACAAGCACCCUUGUGAGAGGAAUCUGCUUUUCCUCAAGUCUGAAGAACACCAGGAGAAUCUUUCUGUAUGGAGUUACCAGGAAUCCUCUGCUAAGGAAAGUGAAAGGGAAGAUGCAAUUUCUCCUGGGAAGGGGGGAUGCUGAUGUAGAGGGUGACAAGUAAUAUGCCAUGAAGGAUUCAGUCACCUGGUUAGAUUUAGAGUUAGAGUUAUGGUUAAGGAAGAAGGAAGGAAAAAAGGCAGAAGAGGAAGAAAGGAAGCAAGAAAAGAUAAAAUUUAUUCUAAGAUAAAAUUUGUGAAUUUUGCUAAACUA